GCUUGGGUGGCUCAGUCAGUUGGGCGUCUGACUUCGACUCAGGUCAUGAUCUCACAGCUUGUGGGUUCAAGCCCCACGUCGGGCU
rnacentral:tRNA from 1 species